UUUUCUUUUUUAGGCCAACUCUCAUGUGUUGGCGGAAAGUUACCAAAAUAUGUUAAGGACUUAAUUCAGAGAUAAUGUUGCUAAACGAUUUACAGUCGAUAAUCUUUCAAAAGCAGAAAAACUCAGUGUCAAACAAAGAAUACACGAAUUAUUUGAGAUAUGAUUGAAAUUUG
rnacentral:lncRNA from 1 species